rnacentral:lncRNA from 1 species
CCCCCGCUCUGCCGAGGCACAGCAGCUGCUUGUGCAAAGUUUCUUCAAGUUCAGGAUCGAGUCCAGCCAAAAACAUAAAUUUUAAAGGCUAACGGAAACCUGUGAAACGCUAGAGGUUAAGGUUUUUUGUGGUUUUGAUUUAAAAAAAAGUUAUAAGCAGAGACAAUGCAAAUCUUACAUGCGAUGGAGCAGAAAGCUCUACCUGGACACACCUUCUCCUUGGGAAKGCAAAUGCAUUGGGACAGGCUACUCAGGAUGCAGUCAACCAGGUUGCAGAUGCAAGCCAGAAAGCUAUUGAUCAGGCUUGCAAGACAGCUCAAGAUGGUGUAGAAAAAGCAAGUGGACAAGCUGCAGAAGCAAUGUCUGGCUUGGGGAAAAAGUGUGGAUUUAAGAAAUGAUACUAACUUAAGCAAACAGUAUUGCAUGUAAAAUGCAUCUUUGUUCUGCAAUUCCCUACGCCUUUGUGUAGAA